rnacentral:rRNA from 1 species
AUCAGCCUGAAGGCGCCCGAUCUGGUCUGAUCUCGGAAGCUAAGCAGGGUCGGGCCUGGUUAGUAUCUUGGAUGGGAGACCACCUGGGAAUCCCGGGU